CCGGUGCAAACUGAGCGCCCCACCCGUCCCUGACCUUCCCAGGCCCCUCCUCUGGGCCCGCCUCUUCCCGAGAUGGGACCCCUACACACUCCCGGGGGGCUGUCCCCACACCCCACGAGUCCCAUUAGGGCCUCCCGAGUGCAAGUUCACCCAAGUGGUGACUUUUUAGGGACCCUCGUUCUCGACUCGCAGAGCCCUUCUGUGGCUACCCGCCCCCUGUCCAGUCGCUCCGACGUGGCUACUUUGCGGGUUGGGCUGUAUAAAGGGCUGGAGGCAGCUCGACGCAAACCAGAGACGUGGCGCUUCUCCUAGGCCGGCCUAGACUCCAGAAAGUUUGUGAACUUUUCUGAGCUAAACGUUUCCUCGUGCAACUUGAGCCAGCUCACCAGGAACGUUCGCGACAAACACUGAAGGAGAAAGGAAGCUGUUGGACAUGAACUAGCUGGGGCUCGGCGGCACCGAGGAGGCGCUGAAAUGAAACUGUUUUAAAGUGCAUGCCUGGUUACAGCCGGAGGAUGGGGCAGGGAGGAGCUGAAGAGAUCACCGCCUGGGAGACAUGAAGGCACAGCUCUAGACCACAGUCGGCUUUCCCAAGAAGGCCCCUAACUGGGGACUUUAAAAUGUAACAAGACUACUAAAUUAUUAAAAAAAAAAAAAUGCCUGGAAUCAUGUUUUCCUGUAUAGAUGAACCCGGUAGAUACUAUAGUAACCAUUUGACCAUUUUUCACCCUGGUUUCCAAGAUUGUCUGCCUGAUCC